GGGGAGUAAAACGGAACAAAUGUGAAAGAAUUGAUAUAGCUUCCAAACUGGGACUCAGUAUUAUUCUUUCUUACUAACCCACAAGGACGACAUUGAUCCUGACUUGCGCUUAAACUGUUGGAAUCAUCGCCCCCAACAACCAAUAGUAAAGGAUGUGAAUAUCUGAAUCCUUCAAGGCCGCAUCUGUAAAAAUGAAACUGGAACACCAAGCUGUUGGCGUGUGGUCCCAUUCAAGUGGGCACCGCCUCAUAUGUUUUAUAAUAUAAUAUAUUUAUAUUAUAAUAUAUAAAUAAAUAAAUAAAUAAAUAAGGGGCAUGUGCUUUGUGUGCAAGAAAUUAUGAUACCAGGAAAACAAGAAAAAAAAAAACAAAGGCAGAGGGUGUGUGUGUGCUUGAUUGAGGUGACGCCGCAAAAAAACAAGAAAAAAAAGGAACAAGAGAGAGUGAUGCGAGAGAAAGAAAAGAAAACGAAGCAGUAAAUUUGAUUCCCUCGAUCGGACGGUCGAUCCUUACCCGAUCUUGAAGAAAUUAUGAUAUGUUGCUCUAUUCACCAAGCUCUAGAAGGUGAAUGGAUUUGAUUCUUGGUUUGGCUCUCUCAACUGCCUCUAGUUGAUCUAGAAGGAACUCUGUGUAGCCCGUUAAGUUAUUAAUGGAGGAUUUUGAAGUGGACUACGGCCCAUGGUUUUUCCUUAUCCUUGGAGGAUUUUCCAUGUAAAAAUUGAUGUGUCGUGCGUUGGUGUUUAUCUGUUAUUUUGCUUGGCUAUUAUUAUUGGUAUUGCCUUAGUUUAUUGUUGUUGCUCAUUUUGAUUCGCACAAAGAGGGAAAAGUAUUGAUCUGUGGGUUAUUAUUAUUUCCAUUGCACUCGUACUGCUUAUCUGUAUUUGAA